UCAGAAAAAGUGGUUAAUAGGAAGGAUCAGAAGAAGAGGAAAAUAGAUUUCCUACUGGAGUGAAAAAAACAUCCUGGAACAAUAUUCUGCAACAUUGAACUUUACAAUGACAUUUGGUGGCAUAUGAAUUUGAAUUUGGUAGAAACACAUCAAUUAACAAAAGAAACCUUGAUGCAAUUAAUAAAUAACAACAAGACCGGCCUACUAAGAGCAGAUGCCCUGUCAAGAGAAUGGAAUAUAAAAAGACCAGCAAAAUCUUUCAGAAACCUGACAUCAUGGGACACUUGCACUAAAGCACGAUUUGCAGCUUUUCUUAAAC